CACCGCGGCAACUUGGCGGCGGGUGCCAUGCGUCUGGCGCUUCACGUUCUCUGCCCCCACCCACCGCGCCAUCGCUCCCCGGUCUCGCCUUGGGAAGCGCGCACCUGCCAAGCAGGAUGAAUAAUCUGAUAUCAUGUGAGAUGAGGAAAUAAGAAGCUUUCUGCUGACUUCAUUGCGACCCAGGGUCCAAAAGGUGAUGUAAUCCUGUGGCAAGAAGAUUCAAAACUGUGAGCUAUCUUACAAAAAAUACAAGAAGAUAUGGAAAGUUUUCAUGAGUGCCUACCACCUAAUCCCAAACACUGUCAUUCAUAUGCGCGACAUUGAGCAAAUCUUUAUUGAGGAUCUAUAUGCCAGCAAUAUCUUUUGCUUGGGAGCAGAAACAAAGUACAUGGUGGAUUUCACUGAGGGAUAGAGAUUUGGAAGACAGGAAUGGAUGAAGAACCAAGUGCAUGAGGGCACCUAUCAGGAUUAUUGCUGAAAUCCUCAUGGAGGUUACUGGCUGAGAGGAAGGCAAGCGAGCGAGGACUGAUGGCCCUUGGCACUGUGAGAACAGUGGAGUUCAGAAUAACACCAGAAUCUUCCAAAUACUUUCCCCAUAGGGUGAAAAGGUAAAUGCCCCUUUAAAUCAUUAACUAAACUGGCACUCAGAUCUGGGCAGGCUCUCCCAGAUUGGGCUGUUCUGUUUUGCCAGGAAUUGAUAAACUUCUGUGACCCCU